rnacentral:rRNA from 1 species
UAGUUAAAUAACAAAACUACUCGCCAGAGAACUACGAGCCACUGCUUAAAACUCAAAGGACUUGGCGGUGCCCUAGACCCUCCUAGAGGAGCCUGGUCUAUAAUCGAUAAACCCCGAUACACCUCACCCCUUCUAGCUUAUCAGUCUAUAUACCGCCAUCGUCAGCUCACCCCAACAGGGUCCAAAAGUGAGCAAAAUCAUGAAACCAUAAAAACGUUAGGUCAAGGUGUAGCAUAUGAAGGGGGAAGCAAUGGGCUACAUUUUCUAUAUUAGAACAUAACGGAUUGUCUAUUGAAACAUAGACAUGAAGGAGGAUUUAGUAGUAAAUUAAGAAUAGAGAGCUUAAUUGAAAUAGGCAAUGGGGUGCGUACACACCGCCCGUCACCCUCCUCAAU